rnacentral:lncRNA from 1 species
AUGUUGGUUGAGUCCAGUUCCAACCAUGGAAUCACUGAAGAGUUUGAGUUGGAAGGGAUUUCUGGAGAUCUUCUGCUCCAACCCCCCUCCAUCCAGAGCAUCUUACACAGGAGCACAUCCAGGUGGGAUUGGAAUGACUCCAGAGAGGGGAUUUGCAAUAAAAACAACCUGGAGAACAAACAGCAAAACCUCAUGGGCACCAAACAGCUCCUGAACCAGGAAAUUCCAGGUGAAAAAGCAACUGAAGUGGAAGAGAAGCUCUGACUCAUUUGAACUGAUCAGGACAGGGCAGGAGACAACAUCUCCCACAUUGUGGUUAUUUACCAGCUCUCACUCCAGGAUUUCUUAAGAAUUACAAAGAUUUAGCAAGGCCUUGGAAUGAAAAACAGGAUUGAGGCUCAUCCAGGCUUUUGUAUCCCAAAUAUUCCCCAAACUGUGAGUACUGUUGAUAUUUCUAAAUGUUUCUGUCUCUGUGAUUUUUCUCCCCCGAAGAAGGGAGUGCUCUGGGGUUUUUCAGAAGGAUUCUUUGAUGUGAUUCCAGCUAUUAAAGUUUGAUUUUCCGCAGGGGUUUGGCAGGUGUGGGGAUGAACACCGAGCACUGACCUCGCUGCUCCCACCCACUGCAAACCUCUGCAUUUACCAAGAGCCACAAAAUUAAUGCUGUUGGUUUUCAUAACCCUGCCUUCCUCUAAAUGUUGUUAAUUACCCUGAUUAUCUUGUCUUUUGCUGUUUAAUUGUUGGUAACCGAAAGGCCAUUUUAUCCUAUCUCAAGCUUUCCUAACUCAUCUUCAGG